AGUUCUAAUUAUAGAGUUGAGUGUUCGGUGCCCCGUGCUUCCUUAUUAGCAUUCUAUAUUUGGAUCUUUGAUGCCAAUGUGAUAUUAUGUAAGUUUUACAUUCAUACAAAUCCCAAAUACAAGAAGAGAACUGGAAACUAAUUACUGUGCUGCACCCAUCUCCUGUAUGGUCACACCCAUCUCCUGUAUGGUCACACCCAUCUCCUGUAUGGUCACGCCUCCACCCCUCAUCCUAUAUAUUCCCAAACCCGGCCAUACCUGAUACAGGACCCGCCGACUACUACUACCCCACACAGGACUCGUCCUUUCCCUUUGUUUAAACAAUUGAUAAAGUUUUGAUAAUUAUGGGGCCGUCCUCUGGAUUCCUUCUGGUACUGAUUGGUGUCACCUUCAUGCUAUUAUAUGCUGCACCAGUCCCUGACACUGAGUGCCCACCGGAUCAAGUAUAUGAACCUUGUGGAAGUCCCUGUUCCAUCAAUUGCGGCCAAAGGGAAGAAUCCCAGGCAUGCCUUGAUAUGUGCGUGAUUGGCUGUGUCUGUAAGCCUGGGUUCAAGUUUCAGAAGGGGAGUAAUAAAACCCACUGUGUCCCCUGCACCUCAACCCAUACAGGUUAAAGUGCUGACCCUCCCUCCAUCCAGAAGAUUACAGAGAAGAUUA